UCACUGCUUGCGCAGGCAGUCUCACUUGAGUCCCCGGCAUAACCCGCUGGCAACAUAAGACAAGGGUUGCGCUCGUUGCGGGACUUAACCCAACAUCUCACGACACGAGCUGACGACAGCCAUGCACCACCUGUCACCGACCCCCGAAGGGACCCCCCAUCUCUGAAGGAUUUCCGGCGAUGUCAAACCCAGGUAAGGUUCUUCGCGUCGCAUCGAAUUAAUCCGCAUGCUCCGCCGCUUGUGCGGGCCCCCGUCAAUUCCUUUGAGUUUCAUUCUUGCGAACGUACUCCCCAGGUGGUAUGCUUACUGCGUUAACUGCGUCACUGAACCCGAAGGCCCAACAACUAGCAUACAUCGUUUACAGCGUGGACUAC
rnacentral:misc_RNA from 1 species